CUCUAGCUCCAAUUUGUUUCAGUUCUGUGAAGCAUCUGAACAAGCAGAAGGCAAGGAGAAACACAGCCCCUGUGGAAAAUACAUUAGGACUUUCAGGAUGGACUUUUGUCCUGCUGGGUCAUCUGACCUGAGUGAGGCUGAAGAGGCUGAAAUAGAGACAAUAAGGCAGCACAGAGAGGAGCUCUUGGAGGACAUUAAGAAGCUGAAAGAAGAGAUUGCGCAAGUGUUUGCAGAGAUCGAGGGCUUCCAAAACGCAGAGGAGAGGCAAGAGGCAGACCAGAACCCUGGUGAGAGGACCAGCAAACUAUCACAGAGGGAUAAACUUCUGUCCGUGGGUCGGAAGAAAUUCAACAUGGAUCCUGAAAAGGGGAUCCAGUACCUGAUCGAGCAGCAACUAUUGUCCUCAGACCUGCAGGAGAUUGCCAAAUUCCUCCACAAGGGUGAAGGCUUGAACAAGACAGCCAUUGGCGAUUACUUGGGUAGGAGAGACUCCAAAAACAUUCAGAUUCUCCAAGCCUUUGUGGCAUGUCACCAGUUUGCCAACCUCAACCUGGUGCAAGCACUAAGACAGUUCCUAUGGAGCUUCCGGCUGCCUGGGGAAGCACAGAAAAUUGAUCGCAUGAUGGAGGCCUUUGCCAACUGGUACUGCAAGUGUAACCCAGGAGUAUUCCAGUCCACAGAUACAUGUUAUAUACUCUCCUUCUCCAUUAUCAUGCUUAACACCAGCCUGCACAACCCUAAUGUGAAAGACAAACCCCCCUUUGAAAGGUUUGUGUCCAUCAACCGAGGCAUCAAUGAUGGAGCAGACCUGCCACAAGAGCUCUUAAAGAAUCUGUUUGACAGCAUAAAAAACGAGCCAUUCUCUAUACCAGAAGAUGAUGGAAAUGAUCUCACGCACACUUUCUUCAACCCUAACCGUGAGGGCUGGCUCCUGAAACUAGGAGGACGUGUGAAAACCUGGAAACGUCGUUGGUUCAUUCUGACCGAUAACUGCCUGUACUACUUUGAAUAUACCACGGACAAGGAGCCUCUGGGUAUAAUUCCCCUGGAGAACCUAUCAGUCCAGAAGGUGGAUGACCCCAAAAAGCCAAAUUGCUUUGAGCUCUUCAAUCCCAACUGCAAAGGGCAGAAGAUCAAAGCCUGCAAAACAGAUGGGGAUGGGAAGGUGGUUGAAGGCAAGCACCAGUCCUAUAAGAUCUCUGCAGCUACACCAGCAGAACGUGAUGAGUGGAUUGAGGCAAUAAGGACUAGCAUCACACAGAAUCCUUUCUAUGAUCUCGUCUCUGCCCGAAAGAAGAAGAUUGCCAACAAAAACUGAUCCCUGACCUGGUCGCUGGCAGCAGGAAGAUGUAGUUGUUGAACAGCAUCUCUCACAUGCUGGGCACUUUCAGGGAAGAAAUUUGGGAGGAUUGGCACCUUCCCACUUGGCAUGAAGAUGACUGACAGGACAACUUACCAGAUUUGCUUCUUCUCCUUCCAACCCAAAGGCAGAGGAGCAAUCCACUGAGGACUGUCAGAGCUGUGGGCACAGCACUUCCCGUGUCAUUGCUCAGAGGCUAAACGUCAACUGGCUUUUGGCUUUCUCCAUAUUGCUCCAGCUAUGAAGGGCAGGAUUUGAGGAGAGACAAGAAUGCCUCCAGAACACCUUCCAGCCUGUAGCUGAUCUCUACAACCAUCAAGUGAAGGUACUAGGCUCACCCUAAUGCACCUACGUGGAAGAGAUGUUUUCUUCUGCUCCUUUAACCAUGUCUCAGUUUCAGGGGAUAUUAUCCUCACUGGACAGCCAAAUUUCUUGGUAAGUGGGGAUGAUGAAGAAGCAAGACAGCAUGGAUGAAGCACAAGACACCAAAUUAUCAUGAACCAAAAAUUACAGCCCUGUACAGAGGAUAAGAAUCUGAGGGGAUGACUGGAAUCAGCCAAAGGCUGCUUGAAUACCAGAACUGCUUGCUUCUUUCCUUAUGGUGCAGAGGGACGUGGUUUAGUGGGUGUGAUGAUGAUGGGUUGAUGGUUGAACUUGAUGAUCUUAGUGAUCUUUUCCAACCUUACUAGUUCUAUAAUGCUAUGAUUCUACGACUCUACAGUCCUUCAAUGUGCCCCCAGUCCAAUAGUCUCCACCUGGCUUCAGGACAUUUGUGACUACCCCAGCCCUGACAGUCUUUCCUUCCCAAAGCUUUGUUUUUCCCCUAGACAGCAUCUGCAAAUACAUCUUGUCCUUUGUCCUCCCUGUGGCAGAGCAACCAGUUGAAAUGCAAGGACUGUGGAGACAAAAUUGAAUUUAGGAACAAAAUAAACAGCAUGGGGGCACUCUACUGAUGAGAUUAUACCUGUUUAAAAUUUCUGCAUUAAUUUCUCUCAAGGUUUAAGAUUCCCUAUCUCCAACAGCACAUAAACCUGCACUGCAGAGAUGCAGAUGCCAAGAAUAUUACUUUGACCUGAUGAUCCAGCUUUCCACAAAGUACACAGAGCUCUGAUAAACCCCAUCAGAGCUCCUCUUUGUUAUGCACCAUUUUCCAUCCCCCAGAGAUGCACAGCCCAAUGCCAUUCCUUCCCACGCUCAGUCAUUCUUCUCAGGACCAAGGAAGAACAUAUCAGACUGUGAAGCAUCUGCAUGUAGUAGCAGCUGCCCUGGGCUGCUCUAAAAUCAAUUCAAGCAUUAAUAAGAGUUGCCAGCUACUGUGGCAUAUAUAUCCAGGAGCUGAAAGUCACUGCUGCGUUCAUAUUCAUCCCCACCCCCCAAGACUGCUUAUUUCUGCCACUUUCUGCUCUAGGAAGAGAGGCUGUUUCAGAAAGUCGCAGCAGCUGCCUCCAUGAAGGAACCCCAGAAGCCACAGUUACUUUUCUGAUCAAAGAAGAAUGUGCAAUGGCAAAAGAUGAUAACUUCUGCGCCAAGCAGCAAUACCACUCUUGGAGAAAAAAUCAGGAGAUGAGGAAGAGAUAAGAUAUUUAUGAGAAUGGCUGCUAUGUCACCAUGCACAAAUUGGCCUAAUUAUCUGUAUAAAUGCACCAAUACACACA